AGUUUGAUCCUGGCUCAGAUUGAACGCUGGCGGCAGGCCUAACACAUGCAAGUCGAGCGGUAGCACAGGGAGCUUGCUCCUGGGUGACGAGCGGCGGACGGGUGAGUAAUGUCUGGGAAACUGCCUGAUGGAGGGGGAUAACUACUGGAAACGGUAGCUAAUACCGCAUAACGUCGCAAGACCAAAGAGGGGGACCUUCGGGCCUCUUGCCAUCAGAUGUGCCCAGAUGGGAUUAGCUAGUAGGUGGGGUAAUGGCUCACCUAGGCGACGAUCCCUAGCUGGUCUGAGAGGAUGACCAGCCACACUGGAACUGAGACACGGUCCAGACUCCUACGGGAGGCAGCAGUGGGGAAUAUUGCACAAUGGGCGCAAGCCUGAUGCAGCCAUGCCGCGUGUAUGAAGAAGGCCUUCGGGUUGUAAAGUACUUUCAGCGAGGAGGAAGGCAUUGUGGUUAAUAACCACAGUGAUUGACGUUACUCGCAGAAGAAGCACCGGCUAACUCCGUGCCAGCAGCCGCGGUAAUACGGAGGGUGCAAGCGUUAAUCGGAAUUACUGGGCGUAAAGCGCACGCAGGCGGUCUGUCAAGUCGGAUGUGAAAUCCCCGGGCUCAACCUGGGAACUGCAUUCGAUACUGGCAGGCUAGAGUCUUGUAGAGGGGGGUAGAAUUCCAGGUGUAGCGGUGAAAUGCG
rnacentral:rRNA from 1 species